rnacentral:lncRNA from 1 species
CGCUCGCGGCUUGCCGCGGCCCGGAGCGCAGCCCAGCUGUCAAGGGAACGGGUGUGGAAGGAGGCGGGGCAAAGGUCCGCGGGACCGACGCGAUGCGCAGCGCAGGGCUGGAAGCGCAGUCCUCUGUCACCUUGAGCUCCGAGUACGGAACUAGAGAAACUGCUCUGGCAGCGCAUCACACUCUUCCAAGUGGGAAUGCCCAGUGGAAGGGACAAGUAGUAGUAGGGAAGCGCCCACUCACUACAACUCCCGGCAUGCCCCCUGCGGGGCGGGGCCUUCGCCGAGGGCCUGGCCCUUUGCGGCCCUGCGCGGUGCUUGCUGGGAACUGUAGUAACGGCUGUUUGAGGGUGGAAAGGAGAGCUAGGGCUGCAUUCCCCGUGGUAUCCAAUUCAGCCUCUCCUGCUUCCUGAGUUCUCUCCAGUGAUGCAAAAUCAGAUAAGGAAACACACCUCGUCUAGGAAGCAAGGGGAAAUAUGACAAAGCACACAGAAACUAGAAAUAAAAGUCAAAAAUCUACACCAUCGAACCCAAAUAAUCUUCUUCAGUUUUAAUGAUGGACCCAAACCAAAACAGUUCUCACGUUCACAUGUUAGAAACUAACUCCAUCUGCAUCACUUACGAUAGGCUGUAGUAAACUGAACCAAAUAAGAAAAAUCCCAGCAGCAAACUUGCUGACAAAACUUUAGCCGAUUGCCAGGGUAGUCCGGUACAGGAACGUCAAAUGAAACCAAUGUGCUGUAAAUAAACCUUUAUUGUAUUUUGUGAUACGGUUUGAAUUUAAAUCCCUAGGUAGCGCCACGAAACAAAAGACAUAUUGAUGCUACUGCCAUGGAGCAGCACAGUUUGUCUAGAAAAUAAACGAGACGAAACAGCAGUCUAGAAGUAGGCACCAAAUCCAAGUUUUCAUGUGCGAUCCAGGUAUUAGGGUCCAUCCAGGAACAGCCUGCUGGAAUUGCUAGCCUGGCAUUCACAGAAGAUUGUGCCACCCACGAGGAAUGUGUUUUCAGCCCUGAAAUUCCUGGGAGUGAGAGGUGAAGCCAGCUGGAUUUCUGGGUUGGGUGGGGACUUGGAGAACUUUUCUUACAAGAGGAUUGUAAAAUGCACCAAUCAGCACUCUGUAGCUAGCUAGAGUUUUGUAAAAUGCACCAAUCAGUGCUCUGUAAAAACGCACCUAUCAGCACUCUGUAGGUAGCUAGAGGUUUGUAAAAUGGACCAAUCAGCACUCUGUAAAAUGGACCAAUCAGCAGGGCAUGGGCAGGGACAAAUAAGCCAAUAAAAACUGGCCACCCCAGCCUGCAGGGGCAGCCUGCUUGGGUCCUUUUCCACAUUGUGGAAGCUUUGUUCUUUUGCUCUUCACAAUAAAUCUUGCUGCUGCU